GCAGGAGAGCAGGGCUGCUGCUGUCAGCUGCCCUGCAGCCCUUGCUUUGACUCACCAUUGUAGGUAAGUGAGUACAGAGUACAGACAUGCAAGGGGCGUGGGCAAAGGCCGGUUUAGCUAGAGAACCUGUGCUCAAAGACUCCCUUGUUGCUAAUUUGGUGCAGCACUUAUAAUUUAAAAAGGAAAAUCAAUACUUUCACAAGUUACAAUUGUAAUCUUAGCUUUCAUCCUAGUGGACUGCCAUGGAGCAGAAAUUAACUGGAGCAGCGGUUUGUUUUAUGGCUUACAGUAACUACUGGUAGCAGCCACUAGUGAUAUCCUGUACGAUACUGGGGAUGCAAAUGUAAGAAGAAAGUGUCACUGCAAUGAUGAUCUGUCUAUACAGCAAACUUGUGAUGAGUGCUGUAAAUACAUUCAUGUUUACUGCUUUAAAAAAGAAAAUUGCACAUUCUGUCUUUCAAUGGGAUUGCCUCCCCUCUUCUUCCCUUUCCAAAAAAGAAAUAUCAAAGCUCUUUUAGACUGCUAGCUUCAGGUUGGGGGGAGCUUUGCCAUAUUAUAAAUAUAUAUAAAUAUAUGUAUAAAUAUACUUUUUUAAGCAUGAGAGAGGACAAAAGAAAUACAUUAUAGAGUACCCAAUAUAGAUCAUUAUACAAUGGAAUAUGCACAAUUCAAUAAAGAUGUAGUUAAAUUUAAUAAUUUGUUUUAA